CUGCGGUCCAAGGGUCUCCUUAAAAAGCAGAAUUCCAUUGUAAUACCAUUUUCACUAUCCGAGAAGUCGUUCUUGGAGAAGUACGUGAUGAAGCACCUGGAACAAGUUCCGCAUCUGAUGGAGAUAUACAGGGCCUCUGCUGCCACGUGAAGAGUUAUCUGGUAGAAAAUCAGUGACUUCAAUUUAUCGCUUGCCCACAAGUUGAUUGUUGGAUUGUCAGCAAUGUCUAUCUUGAUCAGAAGCUUGGUUGAAUGUUCGCAUCAAAGCAGGAGGGUAAUUGAGACUUCUGAUUUACUUGCGGCAUCUAUCUGGUGAUUCCUCUGCCGGUUGAAUCGCAUGGCACAAUCGGGUGAUGGUAAACACCUUGCAAACAUCAGUUUUGCACGUAAGAACAGGGUUUCAAGAAAGGCGGUAUGAUUAACUGCUCUCUGCUGUUGAAGAAAUGCACUGCAUCUGAAUCUGCUAACAUCAUGCUCAGGACACGUCUGUCAUGAGGGAAUGCUUGUGAAUGAGAGUCACGGCAGUCUCCAAGACGAUGUCCUGUUGAAGGACAAGAUGUAAGAACUCCAUCUUCUUUGGUUGAUUCAAGGAGAAACUGUGUCAUUAUGAGGUUUCUUGCAAUGCAGUCAACUCGCCCAUGAAAGGGGAAACCCAUUGUGGCAUUCCCUGCAUUGUUGUGUAUCAGGCAUGAUUAACGUUCAACAAUAGCCAAUCUGCUUAUGAACUUGUGCUUUUUGAGGGCAUAGCCAGCGUUCUCUGCAGUCACAAAUUCACAAUCCACCAAAACCUUCACCAUCACCUUCCACUCUAGAAGAAGAGGUCCAUCCCAUGUCCAUUUGUUCGCAUCUACCUGAGCUGAUCGCCAGGUUGGGGAUCCUGUCUGCUCAAUGGCAGCUUGAUAAAUAACUGUCGUGUCAAUCUGGGAUGCAACUUGAAAUAACCUGGUAAGAUUGGGAAACUGGACUUUGUUGAUUCUGUGCCUUUUUGGCUGAUACUUCGCUAGUCAUUUCCUCUCUCUGACAUUACUGUACUCGGAAAAGGUCAGUCCAUAUCUCCUGGCAUUGGGCAUCAGGAAUUGGGAUUGCCACUUUGUCUCGAGAAGCUUUACAGUUUUCCUUCUCUCUCAUAUGCAGUGGUGUUGUCUAUGAAUGAGGCGUGGGGCAGUAUGCUAACGAUGAUGUGAGUCGCUCCAGUUGGCUGUAGUAAUUGGAAUUUGGAAAUUUUUGGAUGCUCGCUCUUUUCUGGCAUUUUUAUGGGGGAAAAGGUGGUAAGUGAAGAGAUCCAACAUUGGUUAUCAUGGGCAAUGCCAAGUUUUCUAAGUUCACAGUUGAUACAUUCCUUUGGGCUUCAGCAUUGGGGAGGCCCUUGAGAAUGGCAAAGAAGUUUUCUGGGAUGCCUAAAUUGCAUGAACUUAGAAGGGUUUCUCGUGAAACACUCGAAGUCUAAACACAUGAAGGAAAUGUUACUCCCAUGCUCGAUGUAAUGCAUUGUUUUGCUAAACCACACCUUGUGUAUCACGAGUUUUAAGUAUUUGUCUGCCUUCAGAGACUCGAUGAAAAUUGCUCUUGCAACUGGGGAGAAAGAUUGUAUUUCUUGUUGCAGGAUCCAUGAUUGAACAUGGAGGGUACUGGUGCACAUGUUAUGGAGACUCAGAAUUCUGCACGACAUUUUCUUCUGUAGCGAUAUGAGCAGGACUUCUACGUUCUAUUGAAUCUUGAUCACUGAUCACGAACAUGCUGAUGGACCUGCCUCCAUAGAAUAUAUUGAUCCAUGAAAGGUACGCUCAGGGCAUGCUCUGAGGCGGCAUGGUUGAGUUCUCGUUGAUAGUUCGAAUCCAUUGUUAGACUGAAAAGAAUAUGGCCCUACUUAGCAUUAAGCGUCAUUUUUCCAAGCCAGCGGCUGUAUAUGGAAGGGAGAUGAAAGGUUGGAGAUAAACUGAUUAAUGAAGGUUGUUUUGAUUUGUGAACAAGUUGCUUGUUUGCUUCUCACAAACUUCUCAACAAUUGCGGCAUACUACUACCAUGACUCACGAAUGAUCGCCUGUAUUGGUUGAGAAGCUUUUUUAAUCAGUCCUACUCUAUACCUUUCUAUAUGUACCUUUAUAGCCUUUUGGAGAAGUUGCUAAUGUUAUUUUCGCGUAGUAUCUACUAACAAACACGUGCAAUUACUGUCACGAUGGUGAAUUUUUCGGACCUUUGUAGCAUCAAAGUCAUAGUCUAAUACUUGAAUAAAAAUUGCUAAGUAGGAAUCGAAAAUUGCUAAGUAGAAAACGAGAAUAUAACUAUCCAAAGCAAUAUACAAAUACGAAAUUUACUAUCACCAGAUAAAUUUUUCGUGACUAAUAACAAAUGGGAAUUUGCUAAUGCGUGUAUGUAGGUACUGACUUUGUUUGAACAUUGAUAGACGCCUUUUUAAUUUCAAAGGCAUACUCUACGUUGACAGCACUUUAUUAUUUAAAUUAAAAAGCCAUCAAAUGUCAUAUGUCGUACUAAGUAACAGAAUGGGUCUAUAAAGAACUAGGAAGUAAUGUAGGCGAAUGCUGUGUGGGUGAGGAUUAUUUUUGUGAAAGUAAUCACAAAAAAUCCAAAAUUAUGGUCACUAUUAUAAAUUUAUCUUGAACUUUUUUUUUUAUAGAAUUUAUACUUAUGCCACAUUACACAUUUAUUAAUUUUUCCAACUUAAACGAUUUCAUUUUUAUUUCACUUAAAUUACGUGUGUGCGUCACGUCAAUAUCGUUUUUCUUUGGUGUUCAUUAAUGUAAUCGAGAUGGAUGAUAAACAUAUCAAACGGUAACAAAAUUUUGGGAUUUUUGACAUUAUAAAAAAGUAGAGGAUAAAUAUAUGGGUAUAAUUUCGAAUAUUUGAUUGAUUUUUUAAGAAAGGACGAAGAAAGAAGAGAGAGAGAGAGACGUUCGACGGCUGCGCAUCGCCGCAUUGGUAGAACCCUAUAAACCGAACCCGAAUCGCACCUAAAUCCACAAAGCAGAGGAAGAGCCAGCGACGAUGGAACAUCAAAUGUUCGAAUCGCACAUCGGAGGGACAGUAACUUCUCACUGUCGCCGACCGAGGUGAGUUCGACUUCCAUUCCGCUCGAAUCCGCGAGCAUUUCGGCUCCUCGAAAUGUUCAACGUUUCGGUUAAAAAUCUCUUCUUGUUCGCCCGAAAACGCUCUCUGGCAACCUUGGCCACGCUCCUUGAACCUCCGAAAUCGUCUUCGUCUUCGUGCUCUUCGUCGCCGUUGAUUGAUUAUCUCGUGAAAUCGCUCGAUCUUCCUUUGGAAUCUGCUGUUUCCAUCUCCCAGAGACUCCGUUGCCACCGAAAUGGCGUCGAAAGAGCCGAUUCCGUGGUCGGGUUCCUGCGUUCCUCCGGAUUCGGCAAAGCGCAGAUCGCGAAAUUGGUCACCAAUGGACCGACGCUCCUCCGGUCGAAUGUGGAAUCGAAUCUCAAGCCCAAGUUGGAGUAUUUCCGCGAGAUUGGGUUAUCACAAUCGGUCUUGCUCGGUGCCAUAGCUGGGAACAGUAGCUUCUUUGGUAGAAGCUUGAAUUCGUUCUAUAAGCCGCAGAUUGAUUUCCUCAUGAAGUGUCUGAGGACCUCCACCGCGUUGGAUAUUGCGAUCAAGCGCUGUUCUUGGCUUUUGACUGCCGACCGCAGGUAUGUUUUGGAACCUAAUAUCGAUCUCUUGAUGAGGGAGGGAGUGAGAUUCGAUGAUGUAGUGCUUCUGAUGCUCUAUCAACCUAAGACAUUAGUGAUGAAGGUUGAGAAGAUGGCUGCUUUUGUUGAAUCCGUUAAAGGUCUUGGAAUGGAACCGUCCUCUCCGAAAUUCAUACAUGGUCUCAGGGUGAUGUCGUCCAUGAAGGAGUCGACUUGGCGUGAGAAGGUAGAGAAUUUCAAGAGUUUGGGUUGGUCUCAAGAGGAGUGCCGGUCCAUGUUUGCUCGUCGCCCGCUCUGUUUGGCUCUUUCCGGAGAGAAUAUUAGGAGGACAGUGGAUUUUUAUCUAAAUACCGCGUCAAUAGCUCGGGAGGUUAUUGUCGGUCAGCCUGUACUUCUUAAGUAUUCAGUAGAGAAGAGGCUUCGACCAAGGCAUAGUGUGAUUACGGUUCUGCAGUCCAAGGGUCUCCUUAAGAAGCGGAAUUCUAUUGUAGUACCGUUUAAAAUAUCCGAGAAGUCGUUCUUGGAGAAGUACGUGAUGAAGCACCUGGAACAAGUUCCGCAUCUGAUGGAGAUAUACAGGGCAUCUGCCGCCGCAUGAAGAGUUUAUCAGGUAGAAGAUCAGGGAUUUCAAUUUAUCGCUUCUGCACGAGUUGAUUGUUGGAUUGGCAGUAUUGUGUAUCUUGAUCAGAAGCUUGGUUGAAUGUUGGCAUCAAAGCAGGAGGGUAAUUGAGACUUCCGAUUUACUCGUGGCAUCUAUUGGGUGAUUCC
rnacentral:lncRNA from 1 species